rnacentral:lncRNA from 1 species
GUAAGACAUAAGAAGCUCUUCAACACACCGAGUGACUCACCACAGGAAUAAACUAAAAUACAGACUGAUCCAAGUUGAAAAUAAGCCAUUUUAUUCAAAAGCAUGUCACUGCCCUGAUGACAUGGUCAUGCGCUGAUGUCAACUGCUCAGUCAUUUCAAACCCACCGAGAUCUGGAGGGGAGAUAAAUUAGUGUGGGGAGGGAAUUUUAAGGAAGAAGUUGAGUGUCCUAAGAAUGUCCUUUCAUGGGAGGUGAGACCACACUGUGAGAGCCGAAGGGAGCUGGAAUCCUCUCAUGUCAAACACAUCACUGUACCCAGGUUUGCAAAGUGGCUCAGCAGGUGCUGGGGCAGCAAUCGUAGCUGCCUGUCACCCCAUUCCCUUUUCCAUGGGAACCCCUGUUCUGAACCAAGAAAACUGCCAUCCUCGAGUACUGGGAGAGAGGAGACAGAAGAGUGGGCAGAGAGGGCCAGGCCUUUUCUCCACCCUCCCCUCUAAAAUUCUGCAGUGAUCUCUCAGUUAGCCCUAGUGAUCUAUUUCACUGAAUGAUUUAUUUCCUCACAACAACCUGUAUGCCUUUGUGUUCUCCACCAGGAACCAAUUUGCUGAGAGGAUGAGACCGAGUGUCACAGGCUGAUCAAACAGACAUAGGAAGGUGACAGUACCGGGAACCUCAUCGAAAACAGGUGUUAAGUACAUGCUUGACACCAAGAAUAACAAAAGCAAAGAUGCAAGAGCUCUUUCCUAUGGGUUUUUCCUGAUCAGACUCUGCUAUUUGAAAGGGAUCUGGAAAGAAGUGAGCCAAGCUCACCUUUGUGAAGACU